GUAAUUCACUCGUAAACAAAUCGAUUAGAAAAAUGCUAAUUCAUUAAGAUUGUAUUCACUUGAAUUGAGCAUUAUAGCUGCAAUAUCUCUCGAGGCCGAUCUCGAACUUAGACGAUUCAUCGUCAUAACACUGUUUUUCUCUUUUUUGUUUGUUGCAUCGGAUAUAAAGACAUUAAUAUGCAGUUUGACACUAUGUAACCAUCGUAAAUCGUGGCAGAGAGAAGGUAUAUGAUUAUGCUAAACGGAAAGAUAUAUCCGUAAUUUUCCCACCCGAUCCUUGAAAAGGUCUGUGUAUAAGCGAGAAAAUGUAUUUGUAAAAAUAUAUUGUAUGUCCGGGAAUAUAAUGAUACUUGCGAGUAACAAGAGGAAUAAUGCUCUUUUGAUGCCAGUUUCUACCUAAUUUCCAACCACGUCAAAUAUCCCACGUUCUUUUUUCCAUAUAAUAGUAUCAGAAUAUUCCACGAGUAUUAAUGGAAGGAAAAUAUCCCACAAAUAAAGAUUCAUUAAUUUAUGAUUUAUCAAAAAGUUACACGCAAAAGCAUAAAAUAACACUGGAUUAGUUUUUCUAUAGAGUAUUUUCGUGUAUUGCCCGUUAUUAAAUUUUAUUAUUAAAUAGGAUUCACAUCUGUAACAAAUUGAAUCUAUCACGAUAGGAAUUUCCUUUAAUUUCAGCGAAUGCAUUACGAAUCUUUUAUCUUAAUUCUUGUUGGAUACGCGUUUGCUCCACGAGUUAAAAUCCGAUAACGUGGUAUCUGAUAAUCUUGGCAUCAAAAAAUCUGGUGACUUCAACCUGCUCGUUGUUGAGAUUAGUUUCACUAUUAUAUCAACCCAGAAAUUAUUUUCUUGUCAUUUCGUGUUUUUGUUAUAGCUUUCAGUAAUAAAGUAUUUAUGAGCCUGUGUUUAUAGAACAUCUUCUGUCUUAUGUUUAUUCAUAGGGUAUGCUAGUACUUUACCCCUGUCUAUUUAUACAUUUAUAGUCCUUCGAAGAAAAUUUACUCGUAGUUACUCGUUUACGUUUACAUAUCGCAUAAAAUAUAAUUAUCGUAUGAAAAAUUAAAUAUGUAUAGCUUGCAUACGCUAUAGUUUUUGGAGUGUGUCAGUGUAACAAAAUGUUUGGUUUCUUAUUUACAAAGUGUAGUGAUACGUGAGUGUUUCUAAUCAAACGAAUUAAGAAAUAUUCCUAUAAAAAUGAUUUCAGUGAUUUCUCUAAUUGUGCUUAUUUACAUUUAAGAACUGGCAAUAUUUUAUUACGACCUUAAAGAAUUAUUUUACAAAACACAUAUUCUUCAAUUUAAAUAGUAUUUAUGCUGAGAUAUAUUGUUAUGUAAUAUUGUUAUGUACAGUAAGAGGAGCUUGCUGCAACGAAUCAUGACAAAUUCCACGUAUUUUCAGUUUCAAGUUAGUCGCAACAUACGUACACACAUGUGUAUGUGAAACUAAUUUAAAGAAACAACGGAGAAUAUUAACAUGCAGCUGCAAGUGAGUACAAAUAGUUUCAGAACACAUAAUUGUAGGAUAUGCAAAAGAAAAAAGUAUGCCAGGUUGCUGAUAACCGUUCGCUAUUGUAACUGGUUCAGCUGUCUUGCUUGCUGUUACACACACACACAUGUUUGUGUUUUUUUAAAUGUUUUUUUAAACCAUAACAAAUAUCUCUUCAGAAAUUGACAAAACAAGUUUAAUAAUAUUUCAAAAUGUUAAGACAAAUUAGAAGGAGAAGGUAUCAAUUGGAAUAAAUAUUGGUUUUAAAAUUUAUUUACACAUGCUACACAAUAUACACUGUAAGAUAUGAAGACUCGCGUACGACCUUCUGGACGCUGUAAUUGCACCAAGUACACUCGUAAUUUGCCGCGGCAGACCAAACAGUCAUAUCGCUGAAAUAAUUGCACAUCGCCGUAAUAAAAGUUAUAAUGCAGGAGGUGUAACACUGGUAGGUCGAGCAACAAGAA